rnacentral:rRNA from 1 species
AUUGAACGCUGGCGGCAGGCCUAACACAUGCAAGUCGAGCGGAUGACGGGAGCUUGCUCCUUGAUUCAGCGGCGGACGGGUGAGUAAUGCCUAGGAAUCUGCCUGGUAGUGGGGGACAACGUUUCGAAAGGAACGCUAAUACCGCAUACGUCCUACGGGAGGAAGCAGGGGACCUUCGGGCCUUGCGCUAUCAGAUGAGCCUAGGUCGGAUUAGCUAGUAGGUGAGGGAAUGGCUCACCUAGGCGACGAUCCGUAACUGGUCUGAGAGGAUGAUCAGUCACACUGGAACUGAGACACGGUCCAGACUCCUACGGGAGGCAGCAGUGGGGAAUAUUGGACAAUGGGCGAAAGCCUGAUCCAGCCAUGCCGCGUGUGUGAAGAAGGUCUUCGGAUUGUAAAGCACUUUAAGUUGGGAGGAAGGGCAGUAAGCUAAUACCUUGCUGCUUUGACGUUACCGACAGAAUAAGCACCGGCUAACUCUGAGCCAGCCGCCGCAGUAAGAC